rnacentral:tRNA from 3 species
GUCAACGUAGCUUAAUUAAAAGCAUAGCACUGAAGAUGCUAGGAUGGGCCCUGAAAAGCCUCGUAGACA